AUUGAACGCUGGCGGCAGGCCUAACACAUGCAAGUCGAGCGGAUGAAGGGAGCUUGCUCCUGGAUUCAGCGGCGGACGGGUGAGUAAUGCCUAGGAAUCUGCCUGGUAGUGGGGGAUAACGUCCGGAAACGGGCGCUAAUACCGCAUACGUCCUGAGGGAGAAAGUGGGGGAUCUUCGGACCUCACGCUAUCAGAUGAGCCUAGGUCGGAUUAGCUAGUUGGUGUGGUAAAGGCCUACCAAGGCGACGAUCCGUAACUGGUCUGAGAGGAUGAUCAGUCACACUGGAACUGAGGCACGGUCCAGACUCCUACGGGAGGCAGCAGUGGGGAAUAUUGGACAAUGGGCGAAAGCCUGAUCCAGCCAUGCCGCGUGUGUGAAGAAGGUCUUCGGAUUGUAAAGCACUUUAAGUUGGGAGGAAGGGCAGUAAGUUAAUACCUUGCUGUUUUGACGUUACCAACAGAAUAAGCACCGGCUAACUUCGUG
rnacentral:rRNA from 1 species